rnacentral:rRNA from 1 species
AUUAUUUUAUUUAUUUAUUAUUAAAAAUAAUUAUAUAAUUUAAUUGUUUUAGUAGAUUUUAUUGAAUAAAUUUUAUUAAUUAUAGUUAAUUAGUACUGUGAAGGAUUAUUGAAAUAAAUUGAAAAAUUUUUAUAAUUAAAGAAAAUUUAUUUUAUUGUACCUUGUGUAUCAGGGUAGAUUAAAUAAUUAAUAAUUAUAUAUUAAUCUCGAUUUUAUAAGAGUUAAUUGUAUUUUUAAGUUAAUGUGUCAAAAUUAUUUAUAAAAUAUAAUUAGAAAUGAAAUGUUAUUCGUUUAUAAUGGUAUCUAGUUUUUUUAGAAAUGAAUUUAAUUCAUUAAUUUUUAAUUUUUUAUUUAAUUAUUUAAUAUAAAGAUUUAUUAAUUAAAAUAUUUUAGGGGAUAAGCUUUAAAAUAAAGUUUUAUAAAUUUUAUUUAUUAUUAAUAAUGUAUGUAUAGAAUUUGCAAUCAUUUAUAAGUUUGUUAUAAAUUAUUUUAUAAAUUUAAUAUUUAAUUUAUUUUAAUUUUAUAUAAAAUUUUUCAUUUAAACUAUAAAAAUGAAUUAAUAAUGAUUUAAUUAGUAUAUUAUGAUGUAUAUAUAAAUAUUAAUGGUUAGGUUUAUAUAAAGAACUCGGCAAAUAAAAAUGUUCGCCUGUUUAACAAAAACAUGUCUUUUUGUGGUAAAUUUAAAGUCUGACCUGCCCAAUGAAAUUUUAAUGGCCGCAGUAUUCUAACUGUGCAAAGGUAGCAUAAUCAUUAGUCUUUUAAUUGAAGGCUGGAAUGAAUGGUUGGACGAAAUAUAAUCUGUUUCAUAUAAAUUUAAAUAAAAUUUUAUUUUUUAGUUAAAAAGCUAAAAUGUUAUUGAAAGACGAGAAGACCCUAUAAAUCUUUAUAAAAUAAUUAAUUUUAAUUUUUUAGAUGAUUUUUGUUAUAAUUUAUUAUUUUAUUUUAUUGGGGUGAUAUUAAAAUUUAAAAAACUUUUAAUUUUUUAAAUCAUUAAUGUAUGAUUAAUUGAUCUUUUAUUAAGGAUUAUAAGAUUAAGUUACUUUAGGGAUAACAGCGUAAUUUUUCUGGAGAGUUCAUAUCGAUAGAAGGGAUUGCGACCUCGAUGUUGGAUUAAGAUAAAUAUUUAGGUGUAGCUGCUUAAAUUUAAAGUCUGUUCGACUUUUAAAUUCUUACAUGAUCUGAGUUCAGACCGGCGUAAGCCAGGUUGGUUUCUAUCUUUAGUAAAUUAUAAUAUUUUAGUACGAAAGGACCAAAUAUUAAAAUAAUUAUAUUUUAUUAUAUGAAUAU